rnacentral:rRNA from 1 species
CACGUAGGUGACCUGCCCCGGAGAGGGGGACAACCACUGGAAACGGUGGCUAAUACCCCAGAUGUUAUUGUGCUUAGAAAGCAAUUACUAAAGCUCCGGCGCUCCGGGAGGGGCCUGCGGCCCAUCAGCUUGUUGGUAGGGUAAUGGCCUACCAAGGCAAAGACGGGUAGGGGGCGUGAGAGCGUGACCCCCCACACUGGUACUGAGACACGGACCAGAUACCUGCGGGUAGCAGCAGCAAGGAAUAUUGCCCAAUGGACGAAAGUCUGAGGCAGCAACACCGCGUGGAGGAUGAAGGCCUUCGGGUUGUAAACUCCCUUUCUGGGGGAAGAGAAAGGACGGUACCCCAGGAAUAAGUCUCGGCUAACUACGUG